rnacentral:lncRNA from 1 species
UUUACUUCUGCCCAGGUAUGCUAGAGACUAUAACAUGUUGGUAUUAAUUACCAAAAAUCUAACAUGUCGGUAAGGCUGCAUUUUCAAUUAUAUUUACGAACAUCUAGUUUUAUUUUUAUAAUGCAUCUACCUUAUUUCCCUUUAUGAAUUCCCACUCAAUUUAUGAUGUGAUUAACACUACUAUUAUACGAUUGAUUCCCACUCAAUUUAUGAUGUCAUUAACACUACUAACAUCUGUCUUCACAAGUUUAUGUUCUUUUCAAUGUGUGGGUACAUCUUGGCAUGAGCUAAGUUAUACCAGACCACCUGUUAGAUUUUUGGUAAUUAAUUUUGCAAGCUGCCCAUCUUUCUAUUUAAGUUCGUUGCUUGUCUUUUAGGCUAUUCUCACAUAAACCAUUAUGCAGGUUAUAUAGGAAAUAAGGAAAAGACGCUUGAGGAGAUCAGGCAAGAUCUUUGCCUGGUAUGAAAACACAUGUCUAUAGUAGCAUCUAGAUUCCUUUGUCAGGUUGCACAACUUUUUAUUACUAAAACAUUUCUAGCAGUGUUAAUUUUCUUGGCAUCAUGUUAUCAUCUAUAUUGUGUUACUUACUGUGGAUUAUCCUAAGCUUUAAUGUCAAAACUAGCAGUAUAUAUUUUCACUUCCCUGUGAGUAUCAACAAAUCUCAUGAUAUUUGACUUUUGUAACUUAUGUUAUCCGCAAAUUUGAAGUUGAGGGGCAUUGACCAGAUAAAAGCUAUCAGUAUUUGGCUACUAUGAUUUCUGGUCUGAACUUUUAUCCUCAAUUUUGCAGUCCAGCGGAAAUGUUUGAGCGAGUGAUUGGUCGCCUUUGAUCACUAUAUUACUAGCAACAAUAGCAGCCAUCACUGGCUCCUAUUCUUGGUCGUGCAUUUCUUGGUAGGCUCGUUCAUACUUGCGCUCUCCUUUGAUCUUCAUUUCUCAGUUUGUUCAUUCCUAUGCUCUCCUAUCGCACUAUUGUAUUCUUUUGCACAUUUUUUUUUCUGAAAUGCUUUCUUAUUGUUCAUCAGAUUCAGUACCUAGGAUGAAGUUUCAGGGCUGCCAGAUUUUAGUUUCAGAGCUGCAAGAUUUCUGCAGAAUUUGAAGACUAUGCUACCAAAAAAAGCUUUCCUAGUUUACCUAUGAUGCAGUUUAGUAUAGUUUAGAAUUAG